rnacentral:misc_RNA from 1 species
AACGCACAUUGCGCCCUUCGGUAUUCCGUUGGGCAUGCCUGUUCGAGCGUCAUUUAAACCUUCAAGCUCUGCUUGGUGUUGGGCGUUUGUUCCGCCUCCGCGCGUGGACUCGCCUCAAAUUCAUUGGCAGCCGGUCAGUUGGCUUUCGUGCGCAGCACAUUGCGUAGCGGCUCCAGCUUGCCUCCUACCAUUAAGCUACUCUACAUCUUUUGACCUCGGAUCAGGUAGGGAUACCCGCUGAACUUAA